rnacentral:tRNA from 1 species
GCUGAGAUGGCGGAGCGGCCAAUCGCACCAGACUGUAAAUCUGGCGCCCGAACGGGCUACGUAGGUUCAAAUCCUGCUCUCAGCA